UAUAAAGGAUUUUGAGUUUUUUCUUGCACUGUUUGACCACUCGUCUUAUUCAAAACAUUUUGAAAUUAUUAUUUAUUUUUUUCGUGACUUACUUUAUUAUCCAAAGUACUUUAAGCACAACUUUUCGUUUUUUAUAUUUGCACAAAUUUUUUAAAUAAGACGAGUGGUCAAACAGUGCAAGCAAAAACUCAAGCAAAAACUCAAA
rfam:Oryza barthii chromosome 5, whole genome shotgun sequence.